UCGACCUGAGCUCAGGCAAGAUUACCCGCUGAACUUAAGCAUAUCAAUA
rnacentral:rRNA from 1 species